AAAUAUAAUACCUUUUUCUAUCUGUAAUAGUGUUCAGUGCAGCGAACUCUUUUUCUUGUUACAGUACAGUAAAUGGGGUGUUUAAUUUGGGAUUCAAUGUAGUCCAGUGUCAAAGUGCAGCAGUUUUAUUACAGAAAUACAAUUUUAUUGGAGGCUGAAGAUUUAAUUUCCACCUUACGUCGAGAGCUAUAAACGGUGUGCCUAUUUUACAUUUUGCAUAGCAUUUGGUAUGUGUAAUUCCUCGUCUAAUUUUAGAGUUUCAAAAGGUGGAAGAGUCACAAUAUGUAGAUUCAAAUUCUUCAACAUUUCAGCCAGAAAUGCCAUUUUAAAAUGAGCAAUUUUCUGUGUUUUAGGCAUGGAUUUGAAAUUACUCCUUUCCUCCCGAUUGAAUUCUGUACCACAUGCUCUCCAGUCCUUCCUAAUGAGUUUAAUGAAAAGGAAUUUCUGAAUGACUGGGUUGAGAAUCUAGCACCUGACCCCACAGAAACCCUUGUCCCAAGUCACUCUUGUUUAUCAACACUAUUCACCAACCACCACCACAACCCUUCACAAAGGAAGAAUCCUCACUGGAUGUGAUGCGGUUCAUUUCAUACAUUUACUCAACAAAUGUGUACUAAGAAGCCCUUCAAGUGGAACAGCUCUAGAUGAGCAAGUUGGUAGGGGAGAAAAAGACUAUCGAAGGAGGUAUAAGGGUAAAAAUCAUUGAAGUUGUAGCAUUAGGAAUAUAACCUUCAGCCUUGGGAGACUCCAGAUGCUAAAGGAAGCAAGUCCGCUUUUCUCUAGUGCCACGGGCUAGGACAGACUGUUUUUGGUAAUGCAGCUGAUGAAGAUGAUGAGCUGAUGAUGGAGGAGACGGUGGUGACCAGCCAGAAGGUGAUCACUGGAGCUGCAAACAAUUCUUUAUAUUUAGUUUAUUAUUUAACUGGCACACAAACCUGUUAAGUAGGAAACUGAGACUCAAAGAGGUUAAGUAACACCUAGUUUUCAAUAAAUGGGAGAAUGUGGAUUCCA
rnacentral:lncRNA from 1 species